CAGCAGCCAUCCACAUUGAGGCAAGACCUUCCAGCAGCAGAAUAAUGAUGAUUGGCUGAAGACACUUGAUUGUUAGCAUUUUUCAGCAAUAUUUUAAAAUUAAGGAACCCACAAUGAAGGAGUGGACGUAAUGGACCGCCAGACAUGUGACCCAAGAGAAGUAUUUACAAAACAUUCCAAAAGCAACAGGUUGGGAGUAUUAUUUAUUCAAAUAAACAAAAAUGUUUUAUUUCCCUUUCAAUGGUAUAUAUCUUAAAUUGCUGGAACAUACAAGUAUAAAAAUAAGAUUAUUUUAGAAAACUCCAGUUUUGAAGGGCACGACAAUAGUUCAGACAUUUGUCAGUAGCUAUGAAGCCACUUUUAACAUGGAAUGAAUAUCCCUUUACUCCAACUCUUGGUCUUAUUACAUUUUUAAAUCAAAUCAGCGUGCUGGAAAUAGAGAAAAAUUCCCAAAGGGAAAUAUAAAAUAAUUUUAAGCAUUUUCAGAAAUACAAGUUACACUUAAGAAACUUGUAUUAAAGGAUGUUAAUCUGAGAUAAACAGAAAACAAACGUUUUGCAAAGCACUACUUUUUGCAUCUGUUUGAGGAUACACAGUUUGCAGCUCUCCUGCCAGAAGCAAAAUACUGACUCUAGCACAGCAGAAAAGGCAUCAACUUUAAGAAAAAAAUGAGUGGUCGCUUUCAAUGACUGAACAUAACAUAUUAAACUUUAAGAAUUUUUAACAAUGCAAAUUAACAGCAAUAGUAGAAAAUACAUCAUUUUAGAUUACAAAAAUUCAGCUUUUAUUAGCACAUGACAAAUCUCAUUCAUUCGCUGCCCUCUCAUAUGUGCUGAGUAACUGCUACACAGAAUUUCAAACCUCACUGAUAUAAAUGUGAGAGAUGACAUCUACAAUGAGAAAAAUGAGGGAAAAAAAUCUCGUUUUAUACCACUAGCAACAAAGAACACAAAAUUGUAUUAAAUUUGUUAAGAAAUGUUAUUUUGUGCAAUUUUCAUGAUAGAUUAAUUAGCUUUGUUCACUUUUUUUCCUCCAUCUUAAAAAGAGAUAAUCUUUUAAUGUUUUCUUAACAUUUCAUUCAGGAACACUAAUCUUAGAAAUGCGAGGCUUGUGUAAAAUUUUACUUUAAUAGGCACAAUGUAGCAAGCGAAACCAUACUCAUAUCAGGGAACUUGCAAUGACCUCCACAUAUAGCACUCAACAGAAAAACAUAUGUCCUGACCUUUGGAGACACUUCCCUGCUUAUGAUAUUCUUAUCUGUCUGUGCCUUGUGAAUAAAAAUGCAUUUUUAUUCCAACCCAAAUGAAGAAAAUCCUAUGGAAAAACAUCAAUGUCAAAGGCUAGGUUGCCAAGGACACCCAAGGUUUCUAGCCUUUUAUUGAUACCACGAAAGUGACAGCUGUGCCCAACUUACUGAAGUCUAUAUUAUAAAUCUGUCAUUUCUAAUUAUAAAUCUACAUUGGAAAAAAUAUUUUACUCAGAUGGCUAUGUGUGAGGCACACGUGUGUUCUACACAGUUUGGACUUUAUCUGGUUGGUCUUACACAAACAAUUAUCCAUCUGUAAAGGGAACUGCUCACUUCUCAGGGCUGCCCUGAUUCCCAGAGGAGAGACAGAUAUUUUACCAUCACAGCGUUCCCCAAGAUGCUGGCAGAGACACCAGGAUGGCUGCUCUCACAAUAGUGUCCAAGAAGUACCCGAGGCUCAACGGGGCACCCAAGCAUCAGGGACCAGGUACCCGCACGUCGCUCUUGCCGUGGCUGGAUUCAAAUUUAUCAGGAAGCUUUGUGAUGUCUCUUGGCCCAGUCACUACCCACGGUGUGCUUUUUAAGCACACAAGUGUGAUGUAAAAGUUACACAGUACAAUUUAGUUUAGAAGCACUGGACAUCUGUGUGUAAUAGCUGCUGAUAAGAAACCCAGAGGAAGCUCAGGGCAGGGAAGAAAAUACUGGAUUUAUUGCUGGGAGUUACGUAUCCCCAACAGCUGUGAUAGAUUCCAGCCACUGAUGCAACCUGAGGUUCGCUGGCAGCACUAAGCAGCGUGGCUAUGUUCUGCCUUCCACAUUCCGCAGAUGUGGCUAACAGGGUGACACCAAGAGCCCAGGGAGCCUGCUCACGUCUGAAAGCCGUGGUUUCUGCUCUGCAGCCUCACCUGGGGAGCUUACUGAAAUGCAGAUUCCCUGUUCCCUCCUGCACUGACCCUGAAUGGGGCUGGGUGUGCUCCAGGACAAGAUGGACCUUCCGGGGACGUGGAGCCUGGGGAGCAGGGCUCCCACGCUGACAGCAGUGAGACAGGAGGGAGCUCCUUUCCUGGAAGUCUCUGACAGAAGACAUUCUGGAGAAAGAAGCUGUCGGAUGUUCGGAAUGCAUGGGCUGGGCUGGCUCAGCAGAGCUGGCGGAAACGGUGAGGGCCCAGCUGCCGUGCCCCUCAACGACACUGUCAGGUAACUGCUGCCAGGAGCCUUCCAGAUGCUCAGACCCCAGAAGCCACUUUACCGGCCCCCUUUGGCCUCAGUUGCUUGACCCUCCCCUACAAAUUUCCAGGUGCAUGACCUUGAACCUGCCUGUGUCCUGCGUGGGCCUUGAGGCAUCUCUAGUUUGAUUAGGACAGACGUGUUUUACACAUGGCUGUCAAGCAAGUUUCUCUUGGCCUAAUUGUUCCUCUGGCAAAUAAUCAAUCCUGAGAAGUUCCUUUACAAAAUACCUAAAAAGUAGACUGUGCCAAAAACGUGGGGUGAAAUGAGGUGCCCACGGCAUCCUGGGGACGUUCUUGGCUGAUGCGGACCUCCGUGCCCCACUGCCAACUGAGGGGUGGGACCUCUCUUCUGGCUCCUUCUUGCCCUGCCCUCUUUUCAGAUUCUGGAACUUCCCAGGGAGCAGAGCAGAUGGCUGAAACAUCCACACGUAGCCUACUGUGAAUACAAACGAUACUUCUGCAGGAGGGGACACUUAGCACUUUUGGUGGAAUUCUGUAAUAUAGCCAACCCACCCCAAAAAAAUGCAAAGGGAACACUGAACUUGGCACACAAGCAGGAGAGAGGGGAUACUGUCUUUUAACUCUUCUCCUAAUGACAUCAGGUCAUAUAAGGCUAUGUCAAGGAAACGGCUUCCACUUUUCUUUGGCAAAGGCCUCGAUAAGUGACAGAAAGUAGGGACUGCCCCCCGAAAUAAGGCUACCACUGCACAACUGUUACCAAAGAUUAAACACCCCCAAAGGAAGAAGCACAGAGGUCAACUGCUGAACAAUUUAAGCUGAUUGGAUGGGUAUGCUUGAGGCUAACCAGUUCUGCAAAGGGAAACACACGGUUUCGAAGCACGGGGAUAAGUAGACGUUACCUUGUGUCUUCUGCACAUCUUGCAUCUUCCUUCCCUGACAGCUGGUCAGAAAUAGGGGCAUCAGGCCAUUUCCCUGUUUCCCAACAGGGUAAUAGCCAACCUACUUCCAGAGAAGAUUUGGAAAAAGAGACAACUAAGCUAGUGAAAUAGAAUAGUUUUUUCUCAUCAAAACAUGAUUUAUUAAUUUUAAGCAAGAGUAAGCAUAUGUGAUAGUGGCCAGCUUGGGGAUAGAACUCU
rnacentral:lncRNA from 1 species